CCGGACCGGCGCACGGGUGAGUAACACGUAUGCAACCUGGCCGUCACAGGUGGAUAACCGGAAGAAAUUCCGACUAAUACAGCAUAACACUCCUGAGGGACAUCCUUCGGGAGUCAAAGGAGGCAACUCCGGUGACGGAUGGGCAUGCGGCGCAUUAGGUAGUUGGUAGGGUAACGGCCUACCAAGCCGACGAUGCGUAGGGGUUCUGAGAGGAAGGUCCCCCACAUUGGAACUGAGACACGGUCCAAACUCCUACGGGAGGCAGCAG
rnacentral:rRNA from 1 species